GACGAACGCUGGCGGCGUGCUUAACACAUGCAAGUCGAACGGAAAGGCCCUGCUUUUGUGGGGUGCUCGAGUGGCGAACGGGUGAGUAACACGUGAGUAACCUGCCCCUGACUUUGGGAUAACUUCAGGAAACAGGGGCUCAUACCGGAUAGGAGCUCCUGCUGCAUGGUGGGGGUUGGAAAGUUUCGGCGGUUGGGGAUGGACUCGCGGCCUAUCAGCUUGUUGGUGGGGUAGUGGCUUACCAAGGCUUGGACGGGUAGCCGGCCUGAGAGGGUGACCGGCCACAUUGGGACUGAGGUGCGGCCCAGACUCCUACGGGAGGAAGCAGUGGGGAAUAGUGCACAAUGGGCGGAAGCCUGAUGCAGCAACGCCGCGUGGGGGAUGACGGCCUGCGGGUUGUAAACCGCUUGCGCCUGUGACGAAGCGUGAGUGACGGUAAUGGGUAAAGAAGCACCGGCUAACUACGUG
rnacentral:rRNA from 1 species